ACUUGAGGACAACCCCAUGCAAUGAAAUGUUUUAGACAUUUCAAAACAUCAUCUGAUAUAUUUAUCUGGGUCUAUACUUUUUGUCGUAAAAAUUCUUUUGUGUUGUUCGACCACGACUGAUAAUAUGUUAUUGUAAACUCACUUCUCAAUUAAUAUGCAGUGAUCAGCAGACGACAGUGCUCCCUGACGCUGGGAUUUCGCUCAGAACAGAAGCUACCACGAUAAUGGGAUCUAGUGACAAGAUUAUGGAAUAUCGAAAGGAAAAAAUUAGGAAAUUCAUGCAAUUACAACAAAAAGAAGACGAUGAAUUGUUUUUUGUAAUAGUUCCUGCCAUACUUCAGUGCCUUAAUGAUGAGAAAAGGCCAGUUCAUACUUCUGAAUAUACUGGUGCUAAAAAGAUGAAGGAAAUUCUAGAGGGGCAUGAGAGUUGGUGUAAGUCAGAGUUUCGUAUGGAGCCCGAGAUUUUUAAGGCAACAUGCAACUAUCUUAGGCAACAUGCAACAUGAGAGUUGGUGUUUACAAGCUGAUGGCUGCAGAUGGUGCUUCAUUUUUGGCUUCUUUGUAUCUGGUUUUGAGACAUUGUAGUGAAGGUUGACAUGAGAAACUCUUGUAUGAACUUUGGAAUGGUUAUCUUUGGACUGCCUUGUGACAAUUUACCUUUUUA